AAGUCGUAACAAGGUUUCCGUAGGUGAACCUGCGGAAGGAUCAUUAACAAAUCAUUUGGGUUGAUAGGAGCAAUCCUAUCGGCCACAUUAACCCGAACCUGUGCAGUUCUCUGCCAGGCUAGGUGUGUAUCUAGUAGCCUCUCUCGAGGUUAUUAGGUGCGCGGUGAUAGACGCAAGUCUUGAUCCACAUAGACGCUUUUUAUGUUUGACAGUGAUAAGUUGACACAAUCAAAAUGACAACUUUUAACAAUGGAUCUCUUGGCUCUU
rnacentral:misc_RNA from 1 species